rnacentral:rRNA from 1 species
GGGUCAGUGGGUUGGUCGUGCCACCGGUACGUACUGGUCUCACUGAUUCCUCCUUCCUGAAGAACCGUAAUGCCAUUAAUUUGGUGUUGCGGGGAAACAGGACUGUUACUUUGAAAAAAUUAGAAUGUUUAAAGCAAGCUAACGCUUGAAUACAUUAGCAUGGAAUAAUGAAAUAGGACGAUCGAUCCUAUUUUGUUGGUUUCUAGGAUUGACGUA